AUUGAACGCUGGCGGCAGGCCUAACACAUGCAAGUCGAGCGGAUGAAGGGAGCUUGCUCCUGGAUUCAGCGGCGGACGGGUGAGUAAUGCCUAGGAAUCUGCCUGGUAGUGGGGGAUAACGUCCGGAAACGGGCGCUAAUACCGCAUACGUCCUGAGGGAGAAAGUGGGGGAGCUUCGGACCUCACGCUAUCAGAUGAGCCUAGGUCGGAUUAGCUAGUUGGUGGGGUAAGGGCCUACUAAGGCGACGAUCCGUAACUGGUCUGAGAGGAUGAUCAGUCACACUGGAACUGGGACACGGUCCAGACUCCUACGGGAGGCAGCAGUGGGGAAUAUUGGACAAUGGGCGGAAGCCUGAUCCAGCCAUGCCGCGUGUGUGAAGAAGGUCUUCGGAUUGUAAAGCACUUUAAGUUGGGAGGAAGGGCAGUAAGUUAAUACCUUGCUGUUUUGACGUUACCAACAGAAUAAGCACCGGCUAACUUCGUG
rnacentral:rRNA from 1 species